rnacentral:rRNA from 1 species
AGAGUUUGAUCCUGGCUCAGGACGAACGCUGGCGGCGUGCUUAACACAUGCAAGUCGAACGGAAAGGCCUGCUUGCAGGGUGCUCGAGUGGCGAACGGGUGAGUAACACGUGGGUGAUCUGCCCCCUUACUUUGGGAUAAGCCUGGGAAACUGGGUCUAAUACUGGAUAGGACCAUGCUGUAGGUGGUGUGGUGGAAAGAUUAGUUUCGGUAAGGGAUGAGCUCGCGGCCUAUCAGCUUGUUGGUGGGGUAAUGGCCUACCAAGGCGUCGACGGGUAGCCGGCCUGAGAGGGUGGACGGCCACAUUGGGACUGAGAUACGGCCCAGACUCCUACGGGAGGCAGCAGUGGGGAAUAUUGCACAAUGGGCGCAAGCCUGAUGCAGCGACGCCGCGUGGGGGAUGACGGCCUUCGGGUUGUAAACUCCUUUCAGCCAUGACGAAGCCUUCGGGUGACGGUAGUGGUAGAAGAAGCACCGGCUAACUACGUGCCAGCAGCCGCGGUAAUACGUAGGGUGCGAGCGUUGUCCGGAAUUACUGGGCGUAAAGAGCUCGUAGGUGGUCUGUCGCGUCAUUUGUGAAAGCCCGGGGCUUAACUCCGGGUUGGCAGGUGAUACGGGCAUGACUGGAGUACUGUAGGGGAGACUGGAAUUCCUGGUGUAGCGGUGAAAUGCGCAGAUAUCAGGAGGAACACCGGUGGCGAAGGCGGGUCUCUGGGCAGUAACUGACGCUGAGGAGCGAAAGCAUGGGUAGCGAACAGGAUUAGAUACCCUGGUAGUCCAUGCCGUAAACGGUGGGCGCUAGGUGUGGGUUUCCUUCCACGGGAUCCGUGCCGUAGCUAACGCAUUAAGCGCCCCGCCUGGGGAGUACGGCCGCAAGGCUAAAACUCAAAGGAAUUGACGG